rnacentral:rRNA from 1 species
UACGGGGGGGGCAAGCGUUGUUCGGAAUUACUGGGCGUAAAGGGCUCGUAGGUGGCCAACUAAGUCAGACGUGAGAUCCCUCGGCUUAACCGGGGAACUGCGUCUGAUACUGGAUGGCUUGAGAUUGGGAGAGGGAUGCGGAAUUCCAGGUGUAGCGGUGAAAUGCGUAGAUAUCUGGAGGAACACCGGUGGCGAAGGCGGCAUCCUGGACCAACACUGACACUGAGGAGCGAAAGCCAGGGGAGCAAACGGG